rnacentral:rRNA from 1 species
AGGAUAGAGGCCUACCAUGGUGGUAACGGGUAACGGGGUGUUAGGGCACGACACCGGAGAGGGAGCCUGAGAAACGGCUACCACAUCCAAGGAUGGCAGCAGGCGCGCAAAUUACCCAAUCCCGACACGGGGAGGUAGUGACAAUAAAUAACAAUACGGGGUUCUUUAGGAUCUCGUAAUUGGAAUGAGUACAAUUUAAAUCUCUUAACGAGGAACAAUUGGAGGGCAAGUCUGGUGCCAGCAGCCGCGGUAAUUCCAGCUCCAAUAGCGUAUAUUAAAGUUGUUGCAGUUAAAAAGCUCGUAGUUGAAUUUCGGGGUUAGUAGGUUGGUCAUGCCUCUGGUAUGUACUGGUCUCACUGAUUCCUCCUUCCUUAUGAACCGUAAUGCCAUUAAUUUGGUGUUGCGGGGAAUCUGGACUGUUACUUUGAAAAAAUUAGAGUGUUUAAAGCAAGCUAACGCUUGAAUACAUUAGCAUGGAAUAAUGAAAUAGGACGUUCGAUCUUAUUUUGUUGGUUUCUAGGAUUGACGUAAUGAUUAAUAGGGAUAGUUGGGGGCAUUAGUAUUCAAUUGUCAGAGGUGAAAUUCUUGGAUUUAUUGAAGACUAACUACUGCGAAAGCAUUUGCCAAGGAUGUUUUCAUUAAUCAAGAACGAAAGUUAGGGGAUCGAAGACGAUCAGAUACCGUCGUAGUCUUAACCAUAAGCUAUGCCGACUAGGGAUCGGAUGA